rnacentral:rRNA from 1 species
CCUACGGGAGGCAGCAGUGGGGAAUAUUGCACAAUGGGCGAAAGCCUGAUGCAGCGACGCCGCGUGAGCGAAGAAGUAUUUCGGUAUGUAAAGCUCUAUCAGCAGGAAAGAAAAUGACGGUACCUGCACAAGAAGCUCCGGCUAAAUACGUGCCAGCAGCCGCGGUAAU